AACGUAGGUGGCAAGCGUUGUCCGGAAUUAUUGGGCGUAAAGCGCGCGCAGGCGGUCCUUUAAGUCUGAUGUGAAAGCCCACGGCUCAACCGUGGAGGGUCAUUGGAAACUGGGGGACUUGAGUACAGAAGAGGAAAGCGGAAUUCCACGUGUAGCGGUGAAAUGCGUAGAGAUCCGGAGGAACACCAGUGGCGAAGGCGACACGCUGGGCCGUACCUGACACUGAGGCGCGAUAGCAUGGGGAGCAAACAGG
rnacentral:rRNA from 1 species